rnacentral:rRNA from 1 species
GACGAACGCUGGCGGCACGCCUAACACAUGCAAGUCGAGCGGAGUUUUACAGCUUGCUGUAAAACUUAGCGGCGGACGGGUGAGUAACACGUGAGCAACCUGCCUCUAAGCGGGGGAUAGCUUCUGGAAACGGAUGGUAAUACCCUAUAAAACUGUUUUGCGGCAUCGUAGAACAGUCAAAGAUUUAUCACUUAGAGAUGGGCUCGCGUCUGAUUAGCUAGUUGGAGAGGUAAUGGCUCACCAAGGCGACGAUCAGUAGCCGGACUGAGAGGUUGAACGGCCACAUUGGGACUGAGACACGGCCCAGACUCCUACGGGUGGCUG